rnacentral:tRNA from 1 species
GGGGGUCAGUGGAAAGCUGGUUAAACCGUUUGGUUUUCAACCACUACGACCCGGGUUCGAUUCCCGCAUUGAACA